CCCGCCUCCACACCCUGGCGUGCUCUCUCUCUCUCUCUCUCUCUCUCUCUCUCUCUCUCUCUCUCUCUCUCGCCUGCAGCCUUGGGCCAACUGGCCUCCUCUGCAACCUAUUUCUUCCACAAGCAUUUAUUGAGCACCUACUGUGUGCCAGGUCUCGGGCUGAGCGUUCAACAGGAGCAACGGGCUCCCUGCCUUCCGUCUGGCAGCCGAGACAGGAGGACCCAGAGGCGGAGAUUGCUUUGCACGGCUGGGCUGGAGUGGGCCUCUGUCUCCGCUGUGUCUCCGGGGUCUAGAGCAGGCCUUUCCCCCGUCUUCAUCCUCCCUUGGAAGUUGCGAGAAGAGGAUUGGAUGGUCCUGACAUUGUUCAGGGCAUCGGCGACAGAGAAAUGAAAACAGGCGGCUGGAACGGGUGCUUGUGUGCCAAGAUCAGCUCUUUGCACACCCGUUUUCACAGCAGCAUCGUCCACACCAGUCCAAGCUGGGAACACCCUGGGUGUCCGCGCACGGAAGAUGGAUCCACACAGUGUGUCCGUCACAGCCUGGAAUAUUACGCAGCCGUGAAAAGGAAGGAAAUCCCGACACCUGCUCCCACGUGGAGGGACCUGGAGGACGUGAUGCUCAGGGACGUGAGCCAGACACAGAGGGACACACACUGUGUGGUCCACUCACAGGAGGUCCCCAGAGGAGCCACAGCCACAGACACAGAAAGUGGAUGGGGGGCCAGGGGCUGGGGGAGGGGUGAGGAGUCAGUGUUUCAUGGGGACAGAGCUUCCGUUUGGGGAGAUGGAAAGUUCUG
rnacentral:lncRNA from 1 species